rnacentral:rRNA from 1 species
GAUGAACGCUGGCGGCGUGCCUAAUACAUGCAAGUCGAGCGAAUGGAUUAAGAGCUUGCUCUUAUGAAGUUAGCGGCGGACGGGUGAGUAACACGUGGGUAACCUGCCCAUAAGACUGGGAUAACUCCGGGAAACCGGGGCUAAUACCGGAUAACAUUUUGAACCACAUGGUUCGAAAUUGAAAGGCGGCUUCGGCUGUCACUUAUGGAUGGACCCGCGUCGCAUUAGCUAGUUGGUGAGGUAACGGCUCACCAAGGCAACGAUGCGUAGCCGACCUGAGAGGGUGAUCGGCCACACUGGGACUGAGACACGGCCCAGACUCCUACGGGAGGCAGCAGUAGGGAAUCUUCCGCAAUGGACGAAAGUCUGACGGAGCAACGCCGCGUGAGUGAUGAAGGCUUUCGGGUCGUAAAACUCUGUUGUUAGGGAAGAACAAGUGCUAGUUGAAUAAGCUGACACCUUGACGGUACCUAACCAGAAAGCCACGGCUAACUACGUGCCAGCAGCCGCGGUAA